rnacentral:rRNA from 1 species
GGAAUUUUCCGCAAUGGGGGAAACCCUGACGCAGCGACGCCGCGUGAGGGAUGAAGGCCUCUGGGCUGUAAACCUCUUUUAUCAAGGAAGAAGAUCUGACGGUACUUGAUGAAUAAGCCACGGCUAAUUCCGUGCCAGCAGCCGCGGUAAUACGGGAGUGGCAAGCGUUAUCCGGAAUUAUUGGGCGUAAAGCGUCCGCAGGCGGUCUGUCAAGUCUGCUGUUAAAGCGUGGAGCUUAACUCCAUUUCGGCAGUGGAAACUGACAGACUAGAGUGUGGUAGGGGCAGAGGGAAUUCCCGGUGUAGCGGUGAAAUGCGUAGAUAUCGGGAAGAACACCAGUGGCGAAGGCGCUCUGCUGGGCCAUAACUGACGCUCAUGGACGAAAGCCAGGGGAGCGAAAGGGAUUAGAUACCCCAGUAGUC